CUCAAUUUGGCAGAAUUUAAUGCAUAAAAUUUAAGAUUUUAUUAUAGUUAUUAAACUUU
rnacentral:tRNA from 1 species